GACGAACGCUGGCGGCGUGCUUAACACAUGCAAGUCGAACGGUGAAGCGCCUUCCUUUUUGGUGGGUGUGUAUGAGUGGCGAACGGGUGAGUAACACGUGAGUAACCUUCCCCCUCCUUCUGGAUAACCGCAUGAAAGUGUUGCUAAUACGGGAUAUUUUGAGUCUGUCGCAUGAUGGGUCUGGGAAAGUUUUUGUUUCGGUGGGGGAUGGGCUCGCGGAUUAUCAGCUUGUUGGGGGGGUGAUGGCCUACCAAGGCGGUGACGAGUAGCCGGCCUGAGAGGGUCGACGGCCACACUGGGAAUGCGCCACGGCGCAGACUACGAGGGGAGGCAGCAGUGGGGAAUACUGCAUAAUGGGAGCAAGGCUGAUGCAGCGACGCGGGGUGAGUGAUGGAGGCCUUAGGGUUGUGAACUUCUUUCGCCAGUGAAGCAGGCCUGCCUCGUUUGUGGGUGGGUUGACGGUAGCUGGAUAAGAAGCGCCGGCUAACUACGUG
rnacentral:rRNA from 1 species